rnacentral:rRNA from 1 species
UACAGAGGUGGCAAGCGUUGUUCGGAAUUACUGGGCGUAAAGGGCGCGUAGGCGGCCCUACAGGUCACUUGUGAAAUCUCCGGGCUUAACUCGGAAUGGCCAAGUGAAACUGUGAGGCUAGAGUGCAGAAGGGGCAAUCGGAAUUCUUGGUGUAGCGGUGAAAUGCGUAGAUAUCAAGAGGAACACCUGAGGUGAAGACGGGUUGCUGGGCUGACACUGACGCUGAGGCGCGAAAGCCAGGGGAGCAAACGGG